rnacentral:rRNA from 1 species
CACGUAGGGUCCGAGCGUUGUCCGGAUUUAUUGGGCGUAAAGGGCCCGUAGGCGGCUUGGUAAGUUGGGUGUGAAAACCCCAGGCUCAACCUGGGGACGCCACCCGAUACUGCCAUGGCUCGAGUCUGGUAGGGGAGUGCGGAACUCCUGGUGUAGCGGUGAAAUGCAUAGAUAUCAGGAAGAACACCGGUGGCGAAGGCGGCACUCUGGGCCAGUACUGACGCUGAUGGGCGAAAGCGUGGGGAGCAAACAGG